ACAUGCUCAAAAAUACCUUUCUGCUCAAAAUAUUGAUUUUAAAUAACAAACAUCAAUGCAAAAGGUUGUUAUUAUCAUUCACUAAUUACUUCUCGCAUAAGUUCAACUUCAUUAACUAGUCUAUGAGUUUACAAAGUCCAGUCCAAUUUAUUACAAAUCCUAGAAUUAAAUAGGGUAUAAAAUAUAAACAAUGUUGGUGCCUUAAACUAAAUUACAACAAAAUGAAAGGAAGAGUUUCCUAAACAUCUAUUGCUCCAGCUUUAAAUGAGCCAAGAUUCUCAUGAGUUUGACCAUGUGAAAAGGUUAGAUUCACAAAGCAUCUUCAAAUGUAAGGAUCUAUAAUGUUAUCAAGUUAAUCCUAAUACAAGAACGAGCAAAGGAAAGUAAUGAUGUCCAUAAGUCUAAUCGUGUCUUAAGGUUAGCCCUACAGAUAAAAAAAGAUUUUCAAAAUCAUAAUUUACUCCAUAGUUCUCAUAUCAGUAAAGGAGAAAAGAGGGAAAGGGAAAAUAACUUAGACAUAUACUAAAGGGGUCAAUACUAUUAUACAUUAUUAAGGGAUGAGUCUGACCAUUUAAAGGUUCAUAUUCACUUUUCUUUUGUACUGCUAUAAAAGGGGAAUUUUAAACAUUGUUUUAUAUAGGUAUAUACACUGAUUCACCAAUCAACCUUGUCAAGCAUAAUAUCACAGAUUUCAUGAUUGAAUUCAAUAGCCAUUUAAGCUAAUAUUAACACAUGGUUUACUCAACCCUAGAUUAAACAAAUUAUAAUUUUCAGAACUAACAUCAAAGAUUAGUUAACCAGAACAAUUCCCAAAUACAUAUAGUGAAUUCAACAUUAAUUACAUUCAAGAUGAACAUUGUACAUACCUUGAAAAUUAAAAAUGCAGCAGAGAAAUGACCAAAUAAAGGUCAGAAAACCAAGGCUGAUUUUAAAGCUUAGAUCAACAGCAAUCAAUUAACAACUACUUGGAAAUUUUCAACUAAAAAUCAGCAAGAAAGAACUCAUAAUUUCAACUAGUAGAAUCCCAGCUAAAAGAAAACGCACAGCUUGAAAAUCAAAAAUCCCAAAUAAAACACCUAAGAAAGACCCUCUUAGCUUUAAACCAUUAUUUCUAACUUGUGAAAACCAAAGGGGAGAAGUUUUUUAUUGAAGUUUCUCCUAAAAUUUCUGAAAUAUGAUUUUUCCAGAAAAGGAAGAGAGACGUUUUGCACUGAAAAUGAUGCUCAAAUCUGUAUGUGUGAGUGAAGGAAAGUUUUCUUUUUAUAGAGUACCCAAAAAAGAAUCAAAAGAAUAGAAUAUUCUGACCUAAUUCCUUAUACUGUAGAAUAGUACAACAUUUAUAUAUACAGUUGUCCGUCCUUUUUCUUAUCCAAUUCCAAUGUUUUAUGCUAAGGAUAGGGACAACCGUGAUAUUCUUUGAACAUUCUGAUAUUUGACUUUGUUAAAGUCCAUUUUUACCCUUUCAAGAUAUUUCAAUUUUAACCAAUUCAGACCUACUAUUCAAAUUAUUUAGAUUAAUCGUUAGCCCCUUCUAGAAACUUCUAGGCAAUUCCAGACUUAGAACCACUUUCCCUAAUUUACUGUUUCAAUUCUUAAGCCAUUCAAAAGCUUAAACUAAAAUUGACUAAAAUGAAACAACCUAGCCAAAAGAAAAUCCUAAUUGAACCUAAGCUAAUUACUGAAUCGGGGCAUCUACUAAUUGAAAAAUUAACUCAAAUUCUACAACAACAAACAAAAGAGAAGAAGAAGAAAAAAAAUAACAGAAAAGCAACAAUCAAAAAUAGAAACAGUAAUGACUAAUUCAAUUAUCCUAAAUUUGAUUAAAUUAACAACUCAUGCAAAUUGAGUAUCAAGAUUCAAACAUGCUUCAAUCACUCAAGAACAAGUAAACAACUAAGCAGCCGUGAAUAAAGAAAAAGAAAAAAAUAAAGUCUAAAAUUAAACCUAAACAUGCGGCUAAUCGGAGAUGUGAACAAGAAGAGGGAAAAGAAAACAGAAGAGUAGACGGGAAAUAC
rnacentral:lncRNA from 1 species